CACCCCUCCCUGCCAAAAACCCAAAACUAAACACCACAGAAACCCUAAAACUUGUAUAUUCUCAAAAUUUUCUUUCGGUAAUCACUGAGUGAACUGAAAUUGGACAACAUCAUAAUUGCUCUUUCUGUGACUGAGGAGAAAAAAUCUGAGGUGGACGUCAUCACUCAUGGAGAGGUCAGGAUGAUUCUCAGGAAUGGCUGCUCCUAGGAGCAGCAGAGAAGCGGGAAGUCUGGGAAGAAAGCCCUUCAAGCCUGGCCUGCAGCGGCUUCUCCUCCUGGGUGCCAAUGCUCUUGACAGGCCACAGAGCCCCGGUUCCAGCCAUGCAUCGUGUGACGAAAGAGGUGGUACAAGGUACAGCAAAUAAACUUACCAUGUUUCCCGUCCGACCGCAAAGCCCGACUGCCCAAUAGAGCCAUCUCAGUUCCACUGCAAUUUUUGCAGGUAAAAUUUUCAGUCAGCCACCAGAGGGUGCCCACAGAGCUCUCUGAAAAUGACCAAAUCCUGCAGAAUUAGAAAAUUUCCAGUGUAUCUAAAACUAAUACCAAAGAUAGCUCCCUCACAUAUGACUGGGAGUGAUGCACAGGCCAGCUAAGGAGCUGCAAGUUUGCAGGGGAUGAA
rnacentral:lncRNA from 1 species